rnacentral:rRNA from 1 species
ACCUGGGCUACACACGUGCUACAAUGGACGGUACAAAGAGCUGCAAGACCGCGAGGUGGAGCUAAUCUCAUAAAACCGUUCUCAGUUCGGAUUGUAGGCUGCAACUCGCCUACAUGAAGCUGGAAUCGCUAGUAAUCGCGGAUCAGCAUGCCGCGGUGAAUACGUUCCCGGGCCUUGUACACACCGCCCGUCACACCACGAGAGUUUGUAACACCCGAAGUCGGUGGGGUAACCUUUUUGGAGCCAGCCGCCUAAGGUGGGACAGAUGAUUGGGGUGAAGUCGUAACAAGGUAGCCGUAUCGGAAGGUGCGGUUG